rnacentral:rRNA from 1 species
UGAAUACGAGAUGCUACGGCAUUGAAGCAGUGUAUGUCAGACUUCUAAGAAAAGCUCGCAAUGUCAUAAACAAUAAAUGCCUGUACCAUAACCGACACAGGUGGGUAGGUAGAGUAUACUAAGGGGCGCGAGAUAACUCUCUCUAAGGAACUCGGCAAAAUGACUCCGUAACUUCGGGAGAAGGAGUGCCUUAUUUUAUAAGGUUGCAAUAACAAGAUCCAAGCAACUGUUUACCAAAAACACAGGUCUCCGCUAAGUCGAAAGACGAUGUAUGGGGGCUGACGCCUGCCCAGUGCCAGAAGGUUAAAGAAGUUGGUUAGCUUCGGCGAAGCUGAUGACUGAAGCCCUGGUGAACGGCGGCCGUAACUAUAACGGUCCUAAGGUAGCGAAAUUCCUUGUCGGGUAAGUUCCGACCCGCACGAAAGGCGUAAUGAUUUGGAUACUGUCUCGGAGAGGGGCUCGGUGAAAUAGACUUGUCUGUGAAGAUGCGGACUACCUGCACCUGGACAGAAAGACCCUAUGAAGCUUUACUGUAACUUGAGAUUGAAAUUGGACUUUAUUUGCGCAGUAUAGGUGGGAGACGUUGAGAAUAUUCUUGCGGGAAUAUUGGAGUCAUCAGUGAGAUACCACUCUUGUAAUGUUAGAUUUCUAACUUUGUAUCAUUAUCUGGUCAAAGGACAGUUUCAGGCGGGCAGUUUGACUGGGGCGGUCGCCUCCUAAACGGUAACGGAGGCGCACAAAGGUUUCCUCUGAACGUGUAAAAAUCGUAUCUAGAGUGUAAAGGCAUAAGGAAGCUUGACUGUGAGACCUACAAGUCGAGCAGGGACGAAAGUCGGUCUUAGUGAUCUGACGGUGCUGAGUGGAAAGGCCGUCACUCAACGGAUAAAAGUUACUCUAGGAUAACAGGCUGAUCUCCCCCAAGAGUUCACAUCGACGGGGAGGUUUGGCACCUCGAUGUCGGCUCAUCGCAUCCUGGGGCGGUAGUACGUCCCAAGGGUUGGGCUGUUCGCCCAUGAAAGCGGUACGCGAGCUGGGUUCAGAACGUCGUGAGACAGUUCGGUCCAUAUCCGGUGUAGGCGUUAGAAUAUUGAGAGGAGCCUUCUUUAGUACGAGAGGACCGAGAAGGACAUACCUCUGGUGUACCAGUUAUCGUGCCAACGGUAAACGCUGGGUAGCUAUGCAUGGAGUGGAUAACCGCUGAAAGCAUCUAAGUGGGAAGCCCACCUCAAGAUAAGUAUUCUC